CGCUGGACGAUAAUUUUGCAGCAAAAUUUAAGGUGGAAGACUGGACGUGAAAGUGGUUGAAAAAAUACAUGCUGGACCGAGCUCCGAGAAAAUUAACAAAAAAUGGCAGAAAAUCACCGUGCUCAUUUAAUGCAUCUUGAUCGUGUCAACAGCCUCAGAGAGAUAGCCAACAGGCCCAGACCCUGAUGGGAUUACAGAAAUGAAUGAAUCCUUUUGAGUUGUACAUGGAUGAAGCCUUUCGAAUGCGG